CCUGGCGGGCAGGGAGAGACAGGAGCAGAGUGGUGACUGGCGGCCCUGAGCAAGGCCGCACCACAGGUGCCAGCGGCUGCCAGACCCCAACGACACCCGGGACCGGUGGCAGAAGGCAACCCCGGGUCGUGUGCCGGCUGCUCCCGACCACAUGGGUUAUCGGUCAUCCGCUGCAGAGCCGGGGCUGUGACGUUGCCUGGGGCCUUGUCUUGGGCACAGGAAGGCAGUGGUGGCAGUCUCCCCCCGGCACUGGCUUCGUGGGAAUCUCAAACUGCCUGUUUUCUAAAGACAAGCCCUGCCCACUGGCACCCCGGCCCAGGAACGCCGAGGGGAGUGCUGGGGCCUGGGAAGACGUUCAACUCGUAACUCGUUUGUAUUAUUUGAUUUACACCUAAAAUAUAUUUGGAAGGCAGCAGAAACGCUCACACUGAACAGGCUGCCAACCCAAAUGUUAAGCAUGAAAAAAUUGCCUGGCAUCAUUAUAUUAUCCAUUUAUCAGUUUGUCACAAGAAUUUGACACAUCUUGUCACUGAAAGUUAGAAAUAACAACUCCCCUCCUUGACGCUUGGGAAGAGGGGGAUAUAUCGCUGCAGAUGCUAAAUUCACACGACGACCAACCGGGCGCACAGAUCCCUGAUAUAAAACUGCUGACGUCUGCCCGGCAACCACCCCAUAAAAAUUUCAUUAGCAUGGAAACAAAUACAUAGCUAUCUGCUCAAGGACUGUUAAGAAAAUGAAGUUCGACGACAGCCAACUCUAUCUGGUAUUCUCUAAACUUUGGCCAAGGGAUCCGUCUGGUGUUUUAUUUUACACCGAAAAGGUGAAAAAAUUUCAAUGAUAACCACCUGAAAAACACGGCAUGAUGCAAUAUUUUAAGAUGCUGCCACCUAAAAUGUAGGAGAGGAUCAAUUGGGUUCUUUCGGGAUUAGAUAUAAUUAGAUGAGGGAUUAGGACAUUAAUUAUAUAUACAUUAACAUUGGCUUUAAGCUAGUGUUGCAACCAGCAUGAUUAAGUGUCACCAAUAAAAGUAACUCUGGUCUCAAUGAGUGGUGCUCAUAAUUGGCACUGACAUCUAAUGAAUUCUACUCUUCUGAAUGCCAACCUUUCAUGGGAAUGAGUUAUUCUGUUCUUACUGAGUAGUUAAUAACAACUUACUAACAACUAACUGAGAACAAAGAUUACCGACUUUGGAAACUACAAGUUAAUCCCACUGGCAUCCAAGUGCUCAGACGCUGUCCUUCCUCUUAAGACAUGAGGCGCAGGGGACACCCAGACCUAUCCACACACACUCAUGCUGCUAUACCUGGAUUUGGUUUGACAAAGGGACUUGUUGUUGAACUUCUUCCAUUUGUACCGGCUUCUAGUUCUGGGCGUCGUGUUGGAUCAUUAUGCCUGGCUGACCCAGCGGAACUUGCAUCUAUAUGAGAAAGAAUAGAUUACUUACAGCCCAGGGACAUCUAAUGAGAUCUAGCUCUAAGAGCUGCUGGAUAUAGAUAUCAAGAGGCAUAAAUAGCAAUGAACGUAAGAUUCUUUAUGCAAAGUACUGUGACAUACAAGAAUAUAAUUUUCCUUUUAAAACAAAACGGUUAUACUAGUUAUUUCAGAGGUUUAGAUUGUGAGGCCAUCUGUGCAAACUAUAGGGAUUCUUGCAUUUGGCAGGCAGAGCAUUGCAGAUGACAUUUCAAUUUAAACGAGCAAGUUGAUUGACUACUAUACCAAUUUCUAAUUAGAAGAAUAAUUCUGCACAAUAGGUUAUCUGUAUGUGAAAAGGCUCUGUGGACUAAAGUCUUCUGUAGUCAAGACGCAAAAAUGGGCAAAAUGGCAGAAACUUAGCUUUCAUUCUGGAUAUCUUAAUUGUUGAACCAAAGAGAUGUUUCACUUUUAAGAAGAAAAAAAGUGUAUAUAUACAGAUAUACAUAUAAGCAAUGGACAUCGUACCUAGCUGACCUUAGUUUUUAGAGGAAUCUCCAAUAAAAGAAGUUUGUUACACUGACUUGAGGCAAUCUGUCAGUGGCUCAAGGUACAGAGAGAGGUCUGCUUUCAAAACUAAGCUACGAGUGAGUGAAGGCAGGCAUUAACAGCAUUGGUGCCACACUCGCUGGGGGCUGAACCAGAUUACAGUGGCUUCAUGAAGCAGCAGAUGGUCUUUACCUUGUCCAACUUUCAUGAGGAUCUUCAUGGCUCUUGUCUGGCACACCCCUCCCUCCUGGUUAUCCAGGCCCUCCAAAGACCCAUUUGAUGUAGCUGAUUAAAAAUAAAAUGGACAAAACAAAAAAAUAAAGAAAAAUCAGGAAAUCAAUAAGCCAAGUUUACAUGAACAUGAAAUGUCUGAAAACAAUUUGAAAAAUAAGAAUUCACUCUUAGUCACAAGUUUUCUGAAAGUAUGGAAUGCUGAAAGCCAAACAUAAAAAAAAAAUAAAAGAAAGAAAAAUGGGUAUUGUCAACACUGCUGCACAUAUGCUAUCUGGUUUCAAGUUCACUUCAGUGCUUUCUCCUUCCUUCAGAACCCACUGAUUUAGUAUUAGUCCAUACAUAAAAGGGACAGCAUCUUCCAAAAAGCUUACUAUUUCAGAGUCCAAGAGCAAAACAGUUAACACAGUCACUUUAAAAUGUAAUAAUCAUCCCACAACACCUGUUUCCUCGACUACAGAUUUCCUGCUUCAAGAACAAUUAGCUCGAUGCUCCCUGAUUGCCAAGCAUCCAAGUUCGGUAAACACUAAAAGAGGAGACUCCCCUACUUCCCCCUUCCUUCUUUCCCCAGCCCAUCUCGAGAUGAAGAAGUAUGCUAGUAUUCAGGUCUUCAAAUUCUGAAGUUUUCCUCCAUUCUUCUGUACUCGACCAGAAAUAGCGAGUGUGUUCUUAUUACCAAGAUGGACCUUGGUCAAUCUCUCAAGCAGGCCAUCCGUUGCAGAACAACGUGGUGGACCCAGGGGACUGCACACAUCCUCUGCUCCGUCAGGGCCUGGUGACAACCUGGGGACAGUGCAUCCUCUGAAUGGUAACUAAAGCUGUAAAAAGACAGGCUGAGGAAGAGGAUUUAAGUUAUGGGUCAAGUUCCAGAAGAGAAAAGAAGGUGGAGAGUGCUACACAUUUUCAUUCCUCCAAAGUUCAAGGGGCAAGGAACAGAAGUGUUUCAUAUACAUUUCUGCAGUGGCCAGUCUUCCUACACAUCUCUCUUCUUAAGCUCAACACAGACUCAGAAGAACCAGAAGCUUACUAUCUGACAAACAGAGGAACUAAAGGAAGCAGAAUCAAGUGAAAAACAUGGAAAGUGAAGCCAUGACAUUCAAAUAAAUACGGCACACAAACCAGGUUACUGCUUUCUACCAGGGCUAGCAACUCUCUGAGUGUCUAAAGAAAAAAGGAAAAAAAGGUGGAAUGAGAUCUGUAAGCUGGAAAACAAGGAGCCUGAUAAAAAUAUCAUCAGUUACUGUGAACAUACAAUCCAGGAAACUACCAUCUAUCUACUUAACACCAUGACAUCAAUUCAGAUUCACAAUGGGUACCUUGGAAAUAGGGAUCUAAUCUCUAGAUCUCAAUGUAGAUUUUAAUGCCUCAAGUCUGACGAGCAUCCUUUCAGAUACUGAGGAGAAAGAUUCCAAACAUGGAGAUGAUAAUGUUCACUGAACGCCAAAAAUGAUUGCCUUUUUUCUGUAAUUAAUAAAACUUCUGAAACAGAAACAGUUGUAUAAUGUGCCAGAAGGAGGAAGAAAAAUUCACUUCUUCUAACUUCUUUUUAUGUAUUUUUCUUUAGGAUUUAUAGUGUAAGAGAUGAGGAAUGUGUCAUUGUGAGUUUCCAAGGGCCUUGUUAUUUUCGUUUGGCAGAAUGUUCAAAAAAAUUCAGCAUUAUUUCAAAGCACGUGGCAUCUCAUCCCAUAAUACCAAAUUUGCCUUAUCUUUGCUAUAUAAACACUUCUUAAAAUGGCCUCCAUUUGAAAAAGGA